UGCUAACGCUCCUCCAGGGUGUUCUCCUGUCAUCUGCUUGGUGACGUGACAGUCUGUGGACAUUGCGAAUAUUGGUGGCGGCCUUCUCUGGAUCGUUGUUUUUGGGCAGCAUCGGCACGGCGUCUCCAGCCCGGCGAGUGAAUCUGGAGAAAGCUACCGAGUUGUGGUGGGAGCGGCUGCUCGUGAAUGAGCCCAAGAUCAACAUCUGCGCCAUCGACCCGACCAAGCCUUUCGGGAGCCCGGACUCGGAUACCCAGGCCAAGAUCCAGGAGCUGACUUACAACAGCCUGCUCAAGCAGGCCGGACGCAAGACGCCACAAGAAGAGAAAGUGGAGAACCUUCUCCGCGAAGCUUGGGGCAAGGACGGGUUGCCGUUCAAGGGGCAGCCCUUUGACCCCAGCAUCGUGAACAUGAGCGGCGUCAACAGUGACAUGUGACAAACUUCAUCUUCACCACAUCUUUUGGUUCUUGUCUUGGCCUGGAACACUACGUGCACAUCGACCGCAAGUGUGUGCUUUGACUCGUGUGCCACCCGGAGUUGGCUGAUUGUGUCACGAUGAAGUGUCUUUUGCGUGCGAACUCUGAUGGCCUCUGCUCCUCAAGAACUGGCCUUUGCCCUCUUGCUACAAGAACAGUCUGUGACCUGUGCGUGGUGCUCCUGAACUCAGUGAGGUGGCAGAACUGUACC